rnacentral:rRNA from 1 species
UACAGAGGGUGCGAGCGUUAAUCGGAAUUACUGGGCGUAAAGCGCACGUAGGCGGAUGUUUAAGUUAGGGGUGAAAUCCCAGGGCUCAACCCUGGAACUGCCUCUAAUACUGGGCAUCUAGAGUCCGAGAGAGGUGAGUGGAAUUCCGAGUGUAGAGGUGAAAUUCGUAGAUAUUCGGAGGAACACCAGUGGCGAAGGCGGCUCACUGGCUCGGUACUGACGCUGAGGUGCGAAAGCGUGGGGAGCAAACAGG